GGGACUAGUUAUGGGGGGUGUGUGUGUUUGUGUGUUUGUGUGUGUCUGUGCGCACACACGCGCUUGCACACGUACAAUCCUGGCCUGGGCUUCCCAGCACACAGACGGGGUCACUCACCAUCACCAGGCCGCGGCGCGCUCCCCGCUACGCCCCCAACCAGCUCCACAGCCCCCUGCCCCGAACCGGUUGCCCUGUCCCGGCCCCGGCCAGCCCUUGCCCCCCACCGAGGGGUGUUCGUAUCGCCCUCAUGCACUGCCAGGGCCCUGCCUGGGCACAGAGCCGCGAGGAGCAGAGGGCGAUGACGGAGGCAGGGCAAUUAGCCAAAGGUUCGGCCUCCCUGUCCAGCGUCUGUCAUCUGGUAGGAUCCCUUCUCCUGCAAAGAGGACCCCUCCCACCCUAAAUAAUGAGGAGUCAAUCAGUAAAGAUCAAAGCGACAGCAGGUGCUUGGGACCUCAAUCCUCUGGCUAACGGCAGGCUUUGGAGAGGAGCUCCAAGGAGUCCCUUGAUGUUCCUUCGGGGCCACAGGAAAACAGAAGAAAUGGUACGCUCAGGAGCACAGCGAUGGACAAUGACAAAGGUAAGUGCUGUUUCUUCUCCUCUCUUCUCUUUACAGGUGAGGAAGCUGUAGGAGGAAAAUCCCUAGGAUGGAUAGAUGUCUGCAGGUAAGACCCAUGACCCGUGACCGUCCCUGGCUGCCACUCAGUUGGACAGCCCUGAGGCCAUGUUCGGGGCAGCUUUUUAUACACUUGCCCGGGAAACCCCUUAGAAAAGGCGGGAAGCCCCUUCUGGGAAACCCCUUAGGAAAACCAGUUCUGACCGGAAGUUGUUUACAACUCCAGGAGAAAUAAAAGAGCGGGAAAAUGGACCUAUAGCUCACGUGGGCAUAAAAUUCCAUUUUGAAACCAACAUGGAUUCCUGUAGUCACAAAACAUACGAAAAUGAACCCACCUAACAAAAGUGUGCUGUGGGGUUGGCUUGGCUUAUGAUCACAUGUGUUUGAAUGUGGUUGUGAUGUUUUCCCAAACUAAUGCUGGGUUCCCUUUCCCUUUCAAUAGCAGUUCUCUUUUGUAAAACACAGACUCAGUGCCUGUGAGUGGGGACGUAUUGUCUCUUGGAGGCGCCCGGGGCGGUGUUAAGUUUUCCCAGAUUACUGCGGUGGGGGGGCUCGAGCCAGUUCUUUGUGGCAGUGUUAGGAGGAACCCCUAGAUAUUGAACCUGUGUGGGUGCUGCUGACUCCACCAUGCAGAAGGGUGAAGUUACAUUGUGGUAGGCCACGCCUAGAGGUCCCACUCAGGUCAGGGCCUGUUGUAUUAAUUUAGAUGGGCCAAAGGUGUUAACUACUCCUGAGGGAAUUCUGCACCAAAAAAAUAAAAAUUCUGUGCACAGUAUUUUAAAAUUCUGCAAAUUUUAUUUGUUAAUAAGUAAAUGUGGAUGCUCCAGUGUGGCAGUGGGGAGCACAGGCCACUGGCUGCACAGAAGUGGGAGAUCACGCUGCAGCACCCUCCGACCCCCCAGGACAGGACUCGGCAGUGAGGUUGCUCUGGACCCUAAUACAGCGCAAAGGCUGGACCUCCCCCAAAACUCCCAGGGCCCUG